UUGUCGUAGCUUGCUAUGAUAAAAUUAGCGGCAGACGGGUGAGUAAUGCAUAGGAAUCAUCCUAGAUAUAUGGGAUAGCCACUAGAAAUGGUGGGUAAUACUGUAUAAUCCCUGCGGGGGAAAGAUUUCUCGCUAUUAGAUGAGCCUAUGUUAGAUUAGCUAGUUGGUAGGGUAAAGGCCUACCAGGGCAGUGAUCUAUAGCUGGUCUGAGAGGAUGAUCAGCCACCCUGGAACUGAGAUACGGGCCAGACUCCUACAGGAGGCAGCAGUGGGGAAUAUUGGACAAUGGGCGCAAGCCUGAUCCAGCUAUGCCGCGUGAGUGAGGAAGGCCUUAGGGUUGUAAAACUCUUUCAGUGGGGAAGAUAAUGACGGUACCCACAGAAGAAGUCCCGGCAAACUCC
rnacentral:rRNA from 1 species